ACGUAUUUUCUUUUGAAUAUAUUACAGAAUCGCUGUUUGACAUUUUAUAAGCAUAUUUGAUAUGUAAUUAAAGAAAAAGAGUAAAAUAUCUGUACUGCUACUGUAUCGGUACUAUUAUGUUGCAAUAUUUUCUACAAGACUUAGUGUUGAGUGGAUGCACCAGUUAAUAGAGAAUGUUACACACACAAUGUCACAAUCACUGCAGCUUCACGAGGUGACCAAAACUUGUAUAAACAUGAAGAGGCCAUGUUCAUUACAUACACAGAUGGAUAUUAGCGAGUCUACAACCAGGACAUUAACCCCAGACCACGCAGAAUGUUUUGCCAGUCACAUACUCGUUGGACACUGAAUUCUCGUCAUGACAGCUCCUCGUCGCUGUGCACUUGACGUGGUCGUCAAACGACGCCGUCAGACCCGGUCGAUACGGAAUCAGAGUUCCAUACAUAAAUGCUUCUUACGGAAAUAAAGGGCUUGCUUCCUUCGGUAGGUUGACGGAUGUCCGAAUUGUGCGAAUUAGAGGACGAAUUAAUAAGAAAAUCUACGUGCCGGAAGAACGUACGACCUUAUCACACCUAAGCUGCAUUUGAUAUAUUCCUCCGCGAGGAGUGGAAUAUCCCUGGCUAGUUUUAUUGUUAUAAUGCCUGAAGCUGAAUGAAUAAGGCGAAUGAUAGGCGUAAUCAAAUUAUUUGAUUUAGUGUUAUACGCUUGUACUGAACAGAACGUCGAUAUUGUGUCCACAACAGGCGUGCUUGAACAGUUAUCUUAUGGAAACAUAUGAUUUCACUUUGUUUUUGGGGUGGUUUUUUUUAAAAAUAUUUAUACUUAUUAUUAUUAUUAUUAUUUUUGUUUUG